rnacentral:rRNA from 1 species
ACUCAAAUGAAUUGACGGGGACCCGCACAAGCAGCGGAGCAUGUUGCUUAAUUCGAUGCAACGCGAAGAACCUCACCUGGAUUGAACUACGCCGGAAAAGCUACAGAGAUGUAGUGUCCUUCGGGGCCGGCGAUAGGUGGUGCAUGGCUGUCGUCAGCUCGUGUCGUGAGAUGUUGGGUUAAGUCCCGCAACGAGCGCAACCCUUGUCUUAUGUUGCUAACGCGUUAUGGCGAGGACUCAUAAGAGACUGCCGUGGUCAACACGGAGGAAGGUGGGGAUGAUGUCAAGUCAUCAUGCCCCUUACGUCCAGGGCUGCAAACAUGCUACAAUGGCCGGUACAAAGAGCUGCUAACCCGCGAGGGGGAGCGAAUCUCAUAAAGCCGGUCUCAGUUCGGAUUGGAGUCUGCAACUCGACUCCAUGAAGCUGGAGUUGCUAGUAAUCCCAGAUCAGCAUUGCUGGGGUGAAUACGUUCCCGGGUCUUGCACACACCGCCCGU